rnacentral:rRNA from 1 species
AACGAACGCUGGCGGCAGGCUUAACACAUGCAAGUCGAACGAUCUCUUCGGAGGUAGUGGCAGACGGGUGAGUAACACGUGGGAACGUACCUUUCAGUCAGGAAUAACUCAUGGAAACGUGAGCUAAUACCCGAUACGCCCUUUUGGGGAAAGAUUUAUCGCUGAAAGAUCGGCCCGCGUCUGAUUAGCUAGGUGGUGGGGUAAUGGCAUACCAAGGCGACGAUCAGUAGCUGGUCUGAGAGGAUGAUCAGCCACACUGGGACUGAGACACGGCCCAGACUCCUACGGGAGGCAGCAGUGGGGAAUAUUGGACAAUGGGCGCAAGCCUGAUCCAGCCAUGCCGCGUGAGUGAUGACGGCCUUAGGGUUGUAAAGCUCUUUCGACGGGGACGAUAAUGACGGUACCCGUAGAAGAAGCCCCGGCUAACUUCGUGCCAGCCGCCGCAGUAA